GAUAUGUAAUGUGAAUUGCAGAAUUCAGUGAAUCAUCGAAUCUUUGAACGCACCUUGCGCCCUUUGGUAUUCCGAAGGCAUGCCUGUUUGAGUGUCAUUAAAUUCUCAACUUCAAAUUUCUAUUUUGAAGCUUGGAUGUUGGAGGCUUUGCAGGCAUUUAUUUGCCAGCUCCUCUUAAAUGCAUUAGCAGAACUUGUAUGUUCGGCUCUGGUUUGAUAAUACUAUCUAUGCCAUUGCUGAAAGGUCAUUGUUCAGCUUCUAAUGGUCCAUUGCAUUGGACUGUCUCUUUGGAGGCAUAACCUUUUUGACUUGACCUCAAAUCAGGUAGGACUACCCGCUGAACUUAAGCAUAUCAAUAAGCGGAGGAAAAGAAACUAACAAGGAUUCCCUUAGUAACUGCGAGUGAAGAGGGAAGAGCUCAAAUUUGAAAUCUGGCGGUCCUUUGGCUGUCCGAGUUGUAGUUUAGAGAAGUGCUAUCCGCGCUGGCCUGUGCAUAAGUUUCUUGGAAAAGAACAUCAUAGAGGGUGACAAUCCCGUCUUUGGCACGGAUCCCAGGGCUUUUGUGAUGCGCUCUCGACGAGUCGAGUUGUUUGGGAAUGCAGCUCUAAAUGGGUGGUAAAUUCCAUCUAAAGCUAAAUAUUGGCGAGAGACCGAUAGCGAACAAGUACCGUGAGGGAAAGAUGAAAAGAACUUUGAAAAGAGAGUUAAACAGUACGUGAAAUUGUUGAAAGGGAAACGCUUGAAGUCAGUCGUGUCCUCUAGGGAUCAAGUCAGCUCUGGCUGGCCGUACUUUCUAGUUGGAUGGGUCAGCAUCAAUUUUGAUCGCUGGAUAAAGGCCUUGGGAAUGUGGCAUCUUCGGAUGUGUUAUAGACCAUGGUUCUGAUACAGCGGUUGGGAUUGAGGAACUCAGCGCGCCUUCGUGGUUGCGUUCAGGAUGCUGGCAUAAUGGCUUUAAUCGACCCGUCUUGAAACACGGACCAAGGAGUCUAACAUGCCUGCGAGUAUUUGGGUGGAAACCCAUGUGCGCAAUGAAAGUGAAAGUUGAGAUCUCUGUCAUGGAGAGCAUCGACGCCCGGACCUGACCUUCUGUGACGGAUCUGCGGUAGAGCAUGCAUGUUGGGACCCGAAAGAUGGUGAACUAUGCCUGAAUAGGGUGAAGCCAGAGGAAACUCUGGUGGAAGCUCGUAGCGAUUCUGACGUGCAAAUCGAUCGUCGAAUUUGGGUAUAGGGGCGAAAGACUAAUCGAACCAUUUUGCUACUUGGUGGUUAAGAGGCACCUGAAAGGGUCAGCCUAGUGAGCAGUUGAGGCUCGCGACACUGUCAAAUUGCGGGGACGUCCUAAAGCCUUCACUACUAAGCCAAUGUUGAAAAGCAUUGGUGGCCGAGUUAAUAGCCCUGGGUAUAGUAAAAAUGUGAAGGAUAUUACAAUGGAUAAUCCGCAGCCAAGUCCUAAGGGCGCAAGCCUAUGGAUGCAGUUCACAGACUAAAUGGCAGUGGGUGUGGCAUUUAGUGCCAUGCUUAAGAUAUAGUCGGUCCUACCGUGAAAGCGGUCUGGCAGAUGAGGACUUUCAUCUCUCAAUAAUAUUUGAUGCAAGUCCAGAGCUGCUGGGAGGCUUUGAAAGCCUUUGGAUAUAAUGCUAGUAGCUGGGUUCCCGCCGAAGUUUUYCUCWGGRUAGCAGAAACUCUGUAUCAGAUUUWUGUGGU
rnacentral:rRNA from 1 species